GAGUUUGAUCAUGGCUCAGGAUGAACGCCGGCGGUGUGCCUAAUACAUGCAAGUCGUACGCACUGGCCCAACUGAUUGAUGGUGCUUGCACCUGAUUGACGAUGGAUCACCAGUGGAGUGGCGGACGGGUGAGUAACACGUAGGUAACCUGCCCCGGAGCGGGGAUAACAUUUGGAAACAGACGCUAAUACCGCAUAACAACAAAGGCCACAUGGCUUUUGUUUG
rnacentral:rRNA from 1 species